AACGAACGCUGGCGGCAGGCCUAACACAUGCAAGUCGAACGCCCUAGCAAUAGGGAGUGGCAGACGGGUGAGUAACACGUGGGAACGUGCCCUUCGGUUCGGAAGAACUCAGGGAAACUUGAGCUAAUACCGGAUACGUGCGAGAGCAGAAAGAUUUAUCGCCGAAGGAUCGGCCCGCGUCCGAUUAGCUAGUUGGUGAGGUAAUGGCUCACCAAGGCGACGAUCGGUAGCUGGUCUGAGAGGAUGACCAGCCACACUGGGACUGAGACACGGCCCAGACUCCUACGGGAGGCAGCAGUGGGGAAUAUUGGACAAUGGGCGCAAGCCGGAUCCAGCCAUGCCGCGUGAGUGAUGAAGGCCUUAGGGUUGUAAAGCUCUUUCACCCACGACGAUGAUGACGGUAGUGGGAGAAGAAGCCCCGGCUAACUUCGUGCCAGCAGCCGCCGCUG
rnacentral:rRNA from 1 species